rnacentral:tRNA from 1 species
GCCGGAAUAGCUCAGUGUGAGUAGAGCA